CACUGUAUUAGAAUGGGGGCAUCCAUCAUUCUGAAAUGGGUAUCAUAUUGGGGAAUGGGGGCACCUGUCAUUGUGAAAUGAAUGCAGGUGCCCCCCCUUUACAAAGGUAGAGUGUUCCUAUGAAAUCUUAAGCCAAAAUGGCGUAAAGCGAAGAACCGUUAAGUUAUAUAGGAAAAAUUUUCCUAAAAGCGAAAAUUCUCUUUGUAAUGCAAAAACAGGUUACUAAUGUAGGUCUUUUGUAAAAGCGGAAUGGCGUAAAGCGAACAUUCGUAAAGUGGGGGACACCUGUACUGUAUUGAGAGUGGGGGCGGGCGCCUAUCAUUGUGAAAUGGGUACUGUAUUGGAGUGGGAGUGUCUGUCAUUGUGAAAUUGGUACUGUAUUUGACUGGGGGUGUCUGUCACUGUGAAAUGGGUACCGUAUUGGGGUGGGGGGUGCCUAUCAUUGUGAAAUGAGUACCGUAUUGGAGUGGGGGCUCCCAUUGCUGUGAAAUGUGUAUGGUAAAUGUGGAGAAAAUUCAGAAAUCUGUGCUGCAAUAGGUCUUGUGCUGGUACAGAUUUUUCUGAAGGUUAACUUGCAGGUUGAGUUGGUGAUAAGGAAGGCAAAUGCAAUGUUAGCAUUCAUUUUGAGAGGACCAGAAUAUAAAAGCAAGGAUGCAAUGCUGAGACUAUGCGAGAUAUUGGUCAGACCACAUUUGGAGCAUUGGGAGCAGUUUUGGGCCCCCUGUGUGCUGGCACUGGAGCAGGCCCUGAGGAGGUUCAUCAGAAUGAUUCCAGGAAUGAAAGGGUUAACCUUUGAGGAGCAUUUAUGGUUCUGGGCCUGUACUCACUGGAGUUUAGAAGAAUGAAGAGGGAUCUUACUGAAACCUAUUGAAUCUUGAAAGACCUAGAUAGAGUGGACGUGGAGAGGAUGUUUCCCAAAGUGGGGGAGUCUUAGGACCAGAGGGCAUAGCUUCAGAAUAGAAGGAUUUCCGUUUAGAGCAGAAGUGAUGAGGAAUUUCUUUAGCCAGAUGGUGGUGAAUCUAUGGAAUUCUUUGCCACAGACUGCUUUGGAGGACAAAUCGUUGGGUGUAUUUAAAGCAGAGAUUGAUAGGCUCUUGAGUAGACAGUGUGCCAAAGGUGAGAAGGCGGGGAAUAGGAUUGAGAGGCAUAACAGUACAGCCAUGAUGGAAUAGCCAGUGGGCUGAAUGGCCUAAUUCUGCUUGUGUCUUGUGGUCUUCUGGUAUUAGAGAUUGCAUGUUGCUCUAACAGGGAUAAUACUGAAGCGGUCAGUAGGACUGCCACGGUGUAAUUGGUAUAGUAUUGGAGGCUGUGGGUCUGUCAGUGUAAAACGGGUACAGUAUUCGAGUGUCUGGUGUCUCUUUACAAUGAGCAUAGGAUUAGAGAUUCUAGGUCUGUCACUGAAUAAGGGUGCAGUACGCUGGCCUGUCUUUGCAUGGCUGGUAUAGUGUGGGUGUGACGGAGAGAGUGGUUUGUGUGGGUAAAGUGUCUGAGAGCACUUAUGAGUAUUUGAUGGUACUUUUUAUUCACUUUGUAACAGGUAUCUCAGUAGUUUGAUGUUUUUGCUCCAGGUUCCAGCAUCUGCAGCCUCGUGUGUCUCUGGCUUCUGGUCACCUGCCCUAGUGAGUCUUUCCACGGCUCAGUGUGACAACGCUCUUGGGAAGCGCUUCUGCUUCUGGGCGUAUAGUUACCUCGCCUACACGCCGGGUCUCUGUGUCUGGCCCUGGGUGGUGAGAGUCAGCAGGUUCGUGGAAGGCAUGUGCAAAGUCCACUCCUGCUCUUGUCUUACUGCCUGUGUUUUCCAACAAAGGGUUGCUAAACAGUGUGUGAGGCCCUUAAGUAAACCAAGUUCAAUGUGGAUGAAAGAAAUGGGGGAAAGAAGCAUUAGAUUGAUCUUGGAGUAGUUGAAAAGGUUAGCACUAAAUCAUAGACCGAAGGCCCCGUGCUGUGCAGUAGAGAUGCAUGUUUGGACAGUGCACAUCAGGGUUACUGGCAUUGGAGAGCACUUGUCUCUCAUUACAGUACAAGCGGUAUCUGGCGAAUCUGUCUGUGUAAAUCGGGAGCAGUAUUGGAGAAUGUGGGCCUGUCACUGUUUAAGGGGCUCACUAUUGGAGAGAACGUGUUGAUAAUUUUAUAGUUUCAGUAUUGGAAGAUCCUGUAUUUCACCGUGUAGUAUUGGAAACUACCGGCUUGCCAUUGGAAGUGUUGAUAAUACUGAGGAAUACAGGCUCGUCACUGUGUAAGGGCAGAAUAUCGGAACGAGGGGCUUUGUUACUGUGUGGCCACUGCAGAAUUGUAUAGAGUGGAUUGGAGAGCAUGUGACUAUUGGCGAAUGUGGGUCCAUGACGGUGUAACAGGUGCAGUAUUGGAGAGCAAGUCGGCCGCUGGCAUGGCUGUGACUGGAGAGAGUCCACGUCCAUCAGUGUGACAAGGUGCAGGAGUGAAGCUGCUCUGGUGAAUGUGGGCUGUUUGGUAAGUACAGCUGGGUUUUCAUCAGCAAGAAUGAUUUUAGUUGUCACGUGUACAGUGAAUCAAAACAUACAGCAAAAUGCAUCCUUGGCAUCAAAUCCGUCACGAUUCUGCUGGGUACCUGGACGUGGGUGUAAACAGAGCACCUAGAGGGAACCCUCAUGGUCACAGGGAGAACGUCACAGUCAGCCGUGGAUUGAACCCUAAUUACUGACACUGUUGUAGAGUUCUGCUAACCACUACGCUACAUUGCUGCCCCCCUCCCCGCCUUGUGUAACGGGUACAGUUGUGGAGAUUCCAGCACUCUAUCUGUAUUAUGACAGGGAAUUGGUGAGUGUGGGUCUGUCACUGUUACAGGUACAGUGUCUGAGUGUGGGUCUGUCACUGUUACAGGUACAGUGUCUGAGUGUGGGUCUGUCACUAUUACAGGUACAGUGUCUGAGUGUGUGUGUGUCACUGUUACAGGUACAGUGUCUGAGUGUGGGUCUGUCACUGUAUUACAGGUACAGUGUCUGAGUGUGGGUCUGUCACUAUUACAGGUACAGUGUCUGAGUGUGGGCCUGUCACUAUUACAGGUACAGUGUCUGAGUGUGGGUCUGUCACUGUAUUACAGGUAGUGUCUGAGAGUGUGGGUCUGUCACUGUAUUACAGGUAGUGUCUGAGAGUGUGGGUCUGUCACUGUAUUACAGGUAGUGUCUGAGAGUGUGGGUCUGUCACUGUAUCACAGGUAGUGUCUGAGUGUGGGUCUGUCACUAUUACAGGUACAGUGUCUGAGUGUGGGUCUGUCAUUUUAUUACAGGUAGUGUCUGAGAGUGUGGGUCUGUCACUGUAUUACAGGUAGUGUCUGAGAGUGUGGGUCUGUCACUGUAUUACAGGUACAGUGUCUGAGAGUGUGGGUCUGUCACGGUAUUACAGGUACAGUGUCUGAGUGUGGGUCUGUCACUAUUACAGGUACAGUGUCUGAGUGUGGGUCUGUCACGGUAUUACAGGUACAGUGUCUGAGAGUGUGGGUCUGUCACUGUAUUACAGGUAGGUCUGAGAGUGUGGGUCUGUCACUAUUACAGGUAGGUCUGAGAGUGUGGGUCUGUCACUGUAUCACAGGUACAGUGUCUGAGUGUGGGUCUGUCACUGUAUCGCAGGUAGUGUUUGAGUGUGGGUCUGUCACUAUUACAGGUACAGUGUCUGAGUGUGGGUCUGUCACUGUUACAGGUACAGUGUCUGAGUGUGGGUCUGUCACUGUAUUACAGGUACAGUGUCUGAGAGUGUGGGUCUGUCACGGUAUUACAGGUACAGUGUCUGAGAGUGUGGGUCUGUCACUCGACUAUGUGUGCUGUAUCAUGUGUUUGGUAUUUAACUGAGCAAGUCUACUCCCUAUAAUGUGUUCAGUGUUGAACAGUGUGUAUCUAUUGUAGAGUAAUGGGUGCUAUAUUGUACGGUAUUGAAUGCUUGCUUGCCACAGUAUAACUGCUUUAGUAUUGGAGAUAGUGAGUCUGGGUGCAGCAAUAUAGAGUAUUUGAUCUUUUUAAAGUGUUGAAAAAUGCUCUUUUAUUGUAUAAUGUUCGUGUACUAGAGAACUCUGCUUUGUCUAUGUUUAACUGUUGUGUAUUGGAGCGUGUGUGUCUUGUCAUUUAAUAAUGGUUACAGUUUCGGAGAUUGUCAGUAACUAACAGGUGCUGCACUGUGGAGUGUAAGAGUCUGACUGUGAGACUAUGUUGAUUAUUGAAUAAUGGGAGUUGUAUUGAAAAGUGUGGAUCCAUCGCUAUCUAAUGCGUACUAUAUUGGACUGAGUCUGUUACAAGAAUGAGAGUGUGGGACUGACAUUGUUUCUUGUCACUUUGUGUAGGUGCAGUAUUGGAUAAACUGUCUUGACACUGUACAGCCGGUUGAGUAUUGGAGAAUGCGUGCCUGUCAGUGAUAACUGGUGCAGUGUUAGGAAGGGUCUGUCGACAUAUGACAGGUGCUGAAUUGUAGAGUGUGAUUCCCCGUCUGGAUUCUGCAUGCAGUGUUGGGCAGUCUGUCACUGCUGACUGGUACAAUACUGGA